rnacentral:rRNA from 1 species
UACGUAGGGCGCGAGCGUUGUCCGGAAUUAUUGGGCGUAAAGAGCUCGUAGGUGGUUGGUCGCGUCUGCCGUGAAAACCCAUGGCUUAACUGUGGGCUUGCGGUGGAUACGGGCCGACUUGAGGUAGGUAGGGGAGAAUGGAAUUCCCGGUGUAGCGGUGAAAUGCGCAGAUAUCGGGAGGAACACCGGUGGCGAAGGCGGUUCUCUGGGCCUUACCUGACGCUGAGGAGCGAAAGCGUGGGGAGCGAACAAG